GAUGAAGAACGUAGCGAACGUGCGAAACGUAAUGUGAAUUGCAGAAUUCAGUGAAUCAUCGAAUCUUUGAACGCAUCUUGCGCUCCUUGGUAUUCCGAGGAGCAUGCCUGUUUGAGUGUCGUGAAUACUCUCAACUUCAACCCAUUUUUCGGAAAGGGAGGAAGGUUGGACUUGGGUGUUUGUUGAAGUGCGAGCUUCGACUCAUCCUAAAUGCAUUAGCGAUCUGCCUCGAUCACACACAAUGUGAUAAUUAAAACUAAAGCAUUGUUUAAUGAUCAAGUCGAGACUGCUUCUAACUGUCGCAAGACAAUAACGUGCAUACAUUUGUGCAUGUCAUUUGACCUCAAAUCAGGUAGGACUACCCGCUGAACUUAAGCAUAUCAAUAAGCGGAGGA
rnacentral:misc_RNA from 1 species